GCUCCCAUGGCGUAGUGGUCACUGCGCUCGCCUUGCAGGCGGGAGACCCGAGUUCGAUUCCCGGCGGGGUCA
rnacentral:tRNA from 1 species